AGUGAACGCUGGCGGUAGGCCUAACACGUGCAAGUCGAACGGCAGCACAGUAAGAGCUUGCUCUUACGGGUGGCGAGUGGCGGACGGGUGAGGAAUACAUCGGAAUCUACUUUUUCGUGGGGGAUAACGUAGGGAAACUUACGCUAAUACCGCAUACGACCUACGGGGGAAAGCAGGGGAUCUUCGGACCUUGCGUGAUUGAAUGAGCCGAUGUCGGAUUAGCUAGUUGGCGGGGUAAAGGCCCACCAAGGCGACGAUCCGUAGCUGGUCUGAGAGGAUGAUCAGCCACACUGGAACUGAGACACGGUCCAGACUCCUACGGGAGGCAGCAGUGGGGAAUAUUGGACAAUGGGCGCAAGCCUGAUCCAGCCAUACCGCGUGGGUGAAGAAGGCCUUCGGGUUGUAAAGCCCUUUUGUUGGGAAAGAAAAGCAGCAGGUUAAUACCCCGCUGUUCUGACGGUACCCAAAGAAUAAGCACCGGCUAACUUCGUG
rnacentral:rRNA from 1 species